CUACCAUGCAAGUCGAACGAUGAUCCGGUGCUUGCACCGGGGAUUAGUGGCGAACGGGUGAGUAACACGUGAGUAACCUGCCCUUAACUCUGGGAUAAGCCUGGGAAACUGGGUCUAAUACCGGAUAUGACUCCUCAUCGCAUGGUGGGGGGUGGAAAGCUUUUUGUGGUUUUGGAUGGACUCGCGGCCUAUCAGCUUGUUGGUGAGGUAAUGGCUCACCAAGGCGACGACGGGUAGCCGGCCUGAGAGGGUGACCGGCCACACUGGGACUGAGACACGGCCCAGACUCCUACGGGAGGCAGCAGUGGGGAAUAUUGCACAAUGGGCGCAAGCCUGAUGCAGCGACGCCGCGUGAGGGAUGACGGCCUUCGGGUUGUAAACCUCUUUCAGUAGGGAAGAAGCGAAAGUGACGGUACCUGCAGAAGAAGCGCCGGCUAACUACGUGCCAGCAGCCGCGGUAAUACGUAGGGCGCAAGCGUUAUCCGGAAUUAUUGGGCGUAAAGAGCUCGUAGGCGGUUUGUCGCGUCUGCCGUGAAAGUCCGGGGCUCAACUCCGGAUCUGCGGUGGGUACGGGCAGACUAGAGUGAUGUAGGGGAGACUGGAAUUCCUGGUGUAGCGGUGAAAUGCGCAGAUAUCAGGAGGAACACCGAUGGCGAAGGCAGGUCUCUGGGCAUUAACUGACGCUGAGGAGCGAAAGCAUGGGGAGCGAACAGGAUUAGAUACCCUGGUAGUCCAUGCCGUAAACGUUGGGCACUAGGUGUGGGGGACAUUCCACGUUUUCCGCGCCGUAGCUAACGCAUUAAGUGCCCCGCCUGGGGAGUACGGCCGCAAGGCUAAAACUC
rnacentral:rRNA from 1 species